rnacentral:rRNA from 1 species
AGCGAACGCUGGCGGCAGGCCUAACACAUGCAAGUCGAACGAACCUUUCGGGGUUAGUGGCGGACGGGUGAGUAACACGUGGGAACGUGCCUUUAGGUUCGGAAUAACUCAGGGAAACUUGUGCUAAUACCGAAUGUGCCCUUCGGGGGAAAGAUUUAUCGCCUUUAGAGCGGCCCGCGUCUGAUUAGCUAGUUGGUUGAGGUAAUGGCGCACCAAGGCGACGAUCAGUAGCUGGUCUGAGAGGAUGAUCAGCCACAUUGGGACUGAGACACGGCCCAAACUCCUACGGGAGGCAGGAGUGGGGAAUCUUGCGCAAUGGGCGAAAGGCUGACGCAGCCAUGCCGGGUGAAUGAUGAAGGUCUUAGGAUUGUAAAAUUCUUUCACCGGGGACGAUAAUGACGGUACCCGGAGAAGAAGCCCCGGCUAACUUCGUG